GAGGUGGGACUAAAUACUCUAAAAGGACCGAAUUCUAUCUGAUCUAUGAAGCUAAGCAGGAUCAGCCUAGUUAGUACUAGAGUGGGAGACUGCCAACGAAAACAGGGGCUGUCUGCU
rnacentral:rRNA from 1 species